rnacentral:rRNA from 1 species
UGGGGAAUUUUGGACAAUGGGGGAAACCCUGAUCCAGCCAUCCCGCGUGUGCGAUGAAGGCCUUCGGGUUGUAAAGCACUUUUGGCAGGAAAGAAACGUCGCGGGUUAAUACCCCGCGAAACUGACGGUGCCUGCAGAAUAAGCACCGGCUAACUACGUGCCAGCAGCCGCGGUAAUACGUAGGGUGCAAGCGUUAAUCGGAAUUACUGGGCGUAAAGCGUGCGCAGGCGGUUCGGAAAGAAAGAUGUGAAAUCCCAGAGCUUAACUUUGGAACUGCAUUUUUAACUACCGGGCUAGAGUGUGUCAGAGGGAGGUGGAAUUCCGCGUGUAGCAGUGAAAUGCGUAGAUAUGCGGAGGAACACCGAUGGCGAAGGCAGCCUCCUGGGAUAACACUGACGCUCAUGCACGAAAGCGUGGGGAGCAAACAGGAUUAGAUACCCUGGUAGUCCACGCCCUAAACGAUGUCAACUAGCUGUUGGGGCCUUCGGGCCUUGGUAGCGCAGCUAACGCGUGAAGUUGACCGCCUGGGGGAGUACGGUCGCAAGAUUAAAACU